CACUCAAUAGUUUACCAUAGUCUGGGUAGACGGUUUAUUGGGAACCUGUACAAAUUGUCUGCGGUUAGAAAGGUAUGAUCUAAACCAAGCGAGUGCUGAGUCUUUAAUGCCUAUCAAAUGUUCAAGCCUGUGGAGUAGUAUGUUGUGGUCUAUGGUGUCAAAGGCAGCACUGAGGUUGGAAAACACUGUA